rnacentral:rRNA from 1 species
ACUCGAGUGGCGAACGGGUGAGUAACACGUGGGUGAUCUGCCCUGCACUUCGGGAUAAGCCUGGGAAACUGGGUCUAAUACCGGAUAGAGCCAUUUUAGUGUGAUGGUUGGAAAGUUUUUCGGUGUAGGAUGAGCUCGCGGCCUAUCAGCUUGUUGGUGGGGUAAUGGCCUACCAAGGCGGCGACGGGUAGCCGGCCUGAGAGGGUGGACGGCCACAUUGGGACUGAGAUACGGCCCAG